UACGAAGGUGGCAAGCGUUGUUCGGAUUUACUGGGCGUACAGGGAGCGUAGGCGGUUGGGUAAGCCCUUCGUGAAAUCUCCGGGCCUAACCCGGAAAGUGCGGAGGGGACUGCUCGGCUAGAGGAUGGGAGAGGAGCGCGGAAUUCCCGGUGUAGCGGUGAAAUGCGUAGAGAUCGGGAGGAAGGCCGGUGGCGAAGGCGGCGCUCUGGAAGCAUUUCUGACGCGUGAGGCUCGAAAGCGUGGGGAGCAAACAGGGU
rnacentral:rRNA from 1 species